rnacentral:rRNA from 1 species
UCGGGAAUUUUGGGCAAUGGGCGAAAGCCUGACCCAGCAACGCCGCGUGAGGGAUGAAGUAUUUCGGUAUGUAAACCUCGAAAGAAUGGGAAGAAUAAAUGACGGUACCAUUUAUAAGCUCCGGCUAACUACGUGCCAGCAGCCGCGGUAAUACGUAGGGAGCAAGCGUUGUUCGGAUUUACUGGGCGUAAAGGGCGCGUAGGCGGCGCGGUAAGUCACUUGUGAAAUCUCUGAGCUUAACUCAGAACGGCCAAGUGAUACUGCUGUGCUAGAGUGCGGAAGAGGCAACCGGAAUUCUUGGUGUAGCGGUGAGAUGCGUAGAUAUCAAGAGGAACACCUGAGGCGAAGGCGGGUUGCUGGGCCGACACUGACGCUGAUGCGCGAAAGCCAGGGGAGCAAACG